GAGGCAACUUUUUGCCGAGUGAAUCGAAUAUCGAUCUCUCUCUUUUUCCCAGUUGCCUAAAUCAUGUUAUGGCCGCCUGAGAGGAAUUCGCUGAUUGGUUAUGUAAUUUCAAAGUAUCCAAUCUUUUCCUCUUUGCUGCUACAUUU
rfam:Brassica rapa chromosome A10, whole genome shotgun sequence.